GACUCACGCUACGCUUUCGGCGUGGCGCACGACUUCGGCCGCAUUUGGGCGUCUCGGGGGUUUACGACAGCCGACGAAAGUUGCUGUGACAAUAGCUGACGGCCUUUUCAGGGAUCCCCUUCCAGCAUCUGGAGCAAUCCAGUUUCGGCUGAUUUACAAAGAGGGGAUGGUUGGUGAGUCUUGCAAAGUUCUGGGCUGAAGAGUCUGAAAAGCACGGGAGCCUGUGACAUUUUUCGCCGUCUGCACCCUGUGAGCAUUAGAGAACAAAGUCAGUGACCAGUAUGACUUUCUUCAUCAUCGUGCUGAUCUCAACGCUUGGGGCAGGGUUACCCGCACAAGCAAUACACCGGGACCCAAGGGAUAACGAGUUUUAGAAAUAUGUAAACUUCACUGUAAAAACAUCAAUGAAUAUGAGUAAACCCUGUUAUGUGUGUUCUUUGUUACCCCAUGACAGCAGCGCUCCUUUUCCGGUCCGAAUAGCCCCGUCUAACUACUCUGAGGUUAAUAUGAUGAUCUCGCACACAGGUUAUGUCCCUGUGUCGGCCACGACUGGGGUGUGAAUAAUACUCUGGGCUUGCGUCAGAGUAUUAAAGAGGGGAUUGUAAGAAUAUAAUCCUGAAUACUCCUAAACCUACUCUUGUAAAUGCGCGGCCCAAGGGUGACUGUCGUUUAGUGUAGCAGUUUAGGGUUUACUUUAGGCCAGCUACAAUACAGUACGUGCUGCUCUGUACAUUUUGCAUUUCCACAUGUUCUGUUCCUAUUUCAUAUCUUGAUUUUGUCUAUGUUUUUGUGUGAAACAUCCUGUUGAACUGUGCAUAACUCUUGUGUGACCUUGAUACUGAGUGUGCAAAGCACAUUCCGUAAUUUUCCACUGCUGAUACUCCCUACGAAGAGUAUAUAAAGCCCCGACGCAGCUGCGCGUUAGGGCACGACUGAGAAUAAACCAGAUUGAUUUAA